rnacentral:tRNA from 1 species
GGAGAGAUGGCUGAGUGGACGAAAGCGGUCGCCUCGAAAGCGAUUAUCCCGAAAGGGAUCAGGGGUUCGAAUCCUCUUCUCUCCGCCA